rnacentral:rRNA from 1 species
CACUAGGAGAAACUUUACUCUUAGCAGUACCUGCCCAGUGCAAAGUUGUAAACGGCCGCCCUAGCGUGAGGGUGCCAAGGUAGCGAAAUUCCUUGCCUUUUAAUUGUAGGCCUGCAUGAAUGGAUUGACGAGGGUCAAACUGUCUCUUGCUUUGUAUGACGAAAUUGGACUGAAGGUGAAGAUACCUUCAUGUGAAAGUUAGACAAGAAGACCCCGUGCAGCUUUUAAAAACUUACUUAUUAAGAGUUGUAAGAUUUUUAGGUGGGGCGCCUAGGAAGUAAAACUUAACCUUCUUAUUUGUUAAAAGUAACUGUCUGGUGUAGAUCCGGCAAGUCCGAUCAUGGGAGAAGUUACGCCGGGGAUAACAGGCUUAUCCAUUAGUAGAGCUCGUAUUGGCUAAUGGGAUUGGCACCUCGAUGUUGAAUUAAGGAUGAUAACUCUAAGGCGUAGAGGCUUUGGAAGUGGGUCUGUUCGACCUUUAAUACCUU